GCCUGGGUGGCUCAGUCGGUUAAGCGUUGGGCUUUGGCUCAGGUCAUGAACUCACGGUUCGUGAGUUCGAGUCCCACAUCAGGCU
rnacentral:tRNA from 1 species